rnacentral:tRNA from 1 species
GGGCCCAUAGCUCAGCGGUAAGAGCAGUCGGCUCAUAACCGAAAGGUCCCAGGUUCAAAUCCCGGUGGGCCCACCA